ensembl:Y_RNA Y_RNA Y RNA
GGUUGGUCCGAGUGCAGUGGUGUUUACAACUAAUUGAUCACAACCAGUUACAGAUUUCUUUGUUCCUUCUCCACUCCCACUGCUUCACUUGACUAGCCUUUU